ensembl:lncRNA
UUGGUUCGUUUCACAGAUUUAUUCAAGAAAAAAAGGCGUUGUUGUUUUUUAACAUUUCCCAUAGAUACACAGUAAUUCUUCCACUGACAACCACAUAAUCAACAGAAGGCGAAGCUCUGCGUUCGUGACCUUGUCGACAGCCACUGUCUUUGUGGUGGGAUUCAAAGCCCACCGGACCCAGCACACAGCCCCCACACAGGCUGCAGUGGGACUCGGCCCCAGCCACUGUCCUGCUGGCUCACCUGCAGCUAAGCUGGGUGAUUCACCUUUAUCACACAGCACUCAGAGCACGUCGAACAGCAGACAGUUUGUCCCCAGGUUUCCUUCCAUCCGUCCCCCAGCAGACCCCUAUACACCCACUCAGCUCUCCUGCUAAUUUCAUCAGCCACAGUGCAAAUAUUUGGGAAUUACUUCAUUCUCCUUUUGCUCUGUCCAAGCCCUUCCUGAAUUUGUAAACCUAUCUGCAUGGGAACCCUUGGUAUAUCUGCAGGAACGCGUGGCCGUGGGAAAGAAACAGCUUGGUUACAGUAACGGAGAAGAAUACAGGUCAGCAGGGGGAGGUUACAGCAUCCCCUCGCUGGGAAUAGGGUGCUCAUGUACACUGUUAGAAAGAGCACAGACAGGCUGUGAUUACACUGCAUAGUUGUUCUCCUGCUUGCUGUCAAAGUGGUUCUUCAGCUGCCUGCAGGACAACACCACGCUGCUGAUCGUCACUUCUGUCUUCCAGAGGGCGAUGCGAUGAGGAGGCGGGAUACUGCAGCAGCAUCUGGAAAGAGAAACCACUGUGGCUCAGUAAGAGAUCUGCUCGCAGUUACAGACAGAACCUGAGCUCAGCUGCUGCCGAGCCUGAAGGAGCCUCCAGUCAGCUGAGCCGAUGGAGCUGACGGACAUUUUGAACACACUCACGCAGCGACAUGCACACACGUGUAUGAGAAUACCUGGCCAAGACGCUUCCCCAGCGUCGCUUAUCAGUCCAGGCAUGAAGGCAGAUCUCUGCAGAUGCAGACUUCCUCGGGGUUGCAGUGUUGCAAGCAUAAGGCAACCUACAGCUUAGCUACGUUGCUCCAUCGCAUGGAAGGUGGCCCAACUGUAUGGCAGAUCACAGGAGAGAUAACAGAGAAAGAAGUUAGGAAAGCUGAAGGAGUAAGAACGUGUGCGAGUAAAACAGCAAACAAAAAAUGAAAAAUGAGGAGGCAGAGCUAUAGACAGGGAGAAAUCUAAAGAAGGCAAAAAGGAGAAAUAAACCAGAGUGAAGAGAAGAUGGCACAGCCAAUCAUUAGAGACAUUCAAUUGUUAUUUUCAAGAUCUCCUGUGACUUUGCUGCCAUGCAAGUACCCCCUAGGCAGCCCCACACUGGUGAAAUCACACCGCAGCCCCUCCCACGUGCUCAGUGCCUCCUGCCCCUCUCCCCUAGUACUGAGGGCCCCUCCCUGCAGGCCCCACAGCCGGGAAUCCCCCGCACUGGCAGGCUGGGCAUGCAGCCGGGUGGCCAGGCAGCACAGCGCACUGGGGCUGGCACUCAUCCCUCGCUCGGCUCUGACUAACCCAGCCUGCGGUGCCAUCAGCUCUGCAGGGACACCGAGAAUAGGAACGGGGACUGCUGGUAAUCCAGGAUGUGUCACUUUUCUCUGCCACUGAAAAAGAGGUACAGUCGCUUGUUUCACUAAGUGGCAUUCUUGUACCCAGCACUAAUUGAAUCCCUUUACAAAUAUGUUUUUCACCCUAGCAAGUCAAGUGCAGCUCUCUCCCCCGUACAGUCAUUCUGUUCUUAUGACUCUGUUACCAUUACUCACACACACUGCAGUGAGGCCAGAUUCAGUAUGGGGCCCGGCUGUUGCACUGCUGAGCACUGCACUGUUUCUUUGCCCAAAUCCAAAGCUCCAAAUUAGACGCCCUGCCUCAGCGUAUAAUGCAGAAGAGUAUAUAAGAAUGGGUUUUGACCAGCCUGGUUAAGUGAAAAGCUCUUUACAUGAACCAGAUGGACAGGUCAAUAAAUCUCUCAGGACACUUUGUAUAUGGAUCCCAGCUCCAGGUUAAAGCAAGCUAUCUUGCUUGGGAUUCCCAAUCCUGAGGCUUUUCUAAGGCACCUCCCCCAUCCCUUUUACAGGGCUCAUGCAAAAGGAACUCAGAAACUCAGUAUUCCCUCCCCUUCCUGACAGCACCUGUACCAGCAAACAGGCACGAUGUCUGAUCUGAAUGUUUCUCAAACCCUGCAUUCGCACACCUUUGACUGCAGUUUCUAUUAGAGGGACAGGAACCUGUAAACACAAGCCUGAAACACAGAUCUUUCAAACUAAAUCAUAGAGGCUUCUUAGAUUACCACACUGUGCUAAUGACACAAUUGCACAUCUCUUCUUGUUUCUUAAAGGAAACGGAGGCAUCACCUGCACACCUUCAUGCUUUAGGGAUUAAUGUCCUGUAUUUCUCAACAACUAAUCAUGCCAGAUAAAGGCAGCAAUGGACGCUAACCAGAAAUGAAAGCAAGACAGUUGUUUGCAUAUUAACUAGUCAAGUCUACAGCUUGUAAUUUUCACGUCACACAGGUGUACAUUCAUCUUUAUGAAUAGGUCCACUCCAUUUCUCUUAAAUAGAAUAGGAAACAACAUUAACAGCGCUAUAACCUUCUAGUACUUUAUACAGGGAUUUUUGACUUCUCCCCACCCUGAAUUAGCAAGUGAGCUCUGCUGUCUCUUGUCAAACCUCAUAAUUCCUUUUUAUUUUUUAUUUUUUUGCCAUUCUCUGUUCAGAGUUCUCAUAAAUUACUGCAAUGAGAUUAUUACAGCGAGGCUCCAGAUCCACUCCUCAUGCAAAACGGGAAAAACUUUGAGUAAAACAUACACAUGAAGGUUUUGGGGGUUUGUUUUUUCAAUCACCAGCAGUACUGAAAAUCAAGGAAGUAUUUCUUCAAAACAACCCUAACAGUUGUGCAUGCUGCAGAAAUCCAAGCACAGAACGUCUUCAGUGAAGAGACACAGUACGGGCUGCAGCGAGAGAAGAUUAACCUUUCUCAAUCCUACAGCCCAUUGAAAUGUAUUGAUUUUGAGCUGAAAAUAUCAUCUGUAGAAACAAAAUACUGUGUUCUCAUUGUUUAAUCCUUGAUGUCUCUGCUAUCUAGUUUCGUAACUGUAGAUAAGGGAUACAGAUAUUUGUCCAUAUGAAAUGAACAAAGUUCAGGAAUGCGUGUCCCUCAUGCCACUGCCAGCAUGCAGUGUCACCUUGCACGAUGAAGUCACUUUCAGACCCAGAUGAUGGACUUCAAUUGAUAAGAAACCUUUUUCUCCUCAUCUAUGACCUCUUUUCACCCACCACCCUGCAUUACACACUCAUCCCUCUUUCACUGAAUCCUUUUGUGGAGUGUACUGAGUGGGAAACUGUGCCCAAGCCCUCCACCCACCUCCAUCCAAUCCAAGUGCUGUCACUGACAGACUUUGUCUAGCACCAGCUGGAUCCUAUCCGUGGGACAGGAAUCACACGGCACUUCAUCUCUUCCACAUAACUGCUUCCCUUCUUCCAUAUUCCAGUGGAGUAGCUUUGCUGUCACAUCCUUUAGGGAAGUCCUUGUUCCUCCAGCGCCUCCUCAAACAUUCACAUGCUGGAUGGUUCUGGUGCCCUGCCACAACCUGGUACUUCCAGAAGUUUUUCUGUAUUGACCGCUGCCAGUGUCUUGGCACAGAGUUAAGUAGAGCACUAGUAGGGACAGAAGCUAAGAAGAGCACUAGUAGGGACAGGAGCUAAGAGAAAAUCUGUUGCGUAUCCUUAAGAGGCAGAUAGUCUCACUAAUGUCCCAGGCAGGCAACUCGGCAGCCUCAGCUUCAGAUGCCAAAAAGACAACCACAUGCUCCAGUCUUCCAUUCAGGGAUUGUAACUGAAGCAUCAGAGGGCAAUACAAUGUUGGGGAAUUUAUGGUAGCAGACCGCUGCCUGGCUCAAACCAGUUAAGUCUGUCCUCUCUGAGUGCUUCUUUGUGCAUGACGGUGGGAGAGCAAAACUCAUCACACCUUCAUAGUUUAAAUCAAGCUGUCAUCUCCCUGAAUACAACAGUUAAGAAUGGUGCUAAUCAUUUGAACCCCUUCCACAGAAACGACCACCACCUCUCUGAAACAAGUACAGAAAAUACUUUUAUCUAAUAAGAUAGCUUGAUUAACUUUCCUUCUGCAUAAGAAGGCACUGCAGAAAAUGUAGCUCCAAAAUAUGUAAAUUUCCUUCCUAAAAUUUUCACAAGUUGGAGAGAGAGCGAGGGAAUGCCAGCCUUCCUCUUCUCUUCUUGCUAUUUCUAUUCCUGUAGAUGCUGCUAUAACGACAACAUCCAGCAGCUUUUCUACCAACUGUAUGAUCAUUUUAGGGGUUCUGAGCUAUUUUUUCCUAGGAGAGGCUCUUCUAAGGGAGCUAGUCUAUCGUUUCCUCUCCUUUGACUGUUUUUCAUUCUCGGAACAUGAGGAAGUAAACUACAUAAGAGACAAAAGACACCAGAAUAACGCUCCCAUGUAGAAGGCCACCUAUUCAGGGGGUAUGAAACGCCACCCCUCUGGAAACAUCAGCAUAAGAGGACGACAGUAACUGGUGACACCGGUGAAAGUGACUCCUUUUGCAGCGGAAUGCCUUGCAGGAUGACCUGAGCACUUCAAGACAGAAAAUAUUCCUUUGCUGUAGCCCUUAUACUGUGUUCCCAGCACUACAGUGGGAAAGGCAACUUCCUCCUAAUUCAAAUAGGUCAAGAGAAGAAAAAGAGAAAGCAUAUGCUAAGAACAGGUAUGUUUUUCUUCAGAAAUAUCAGAUUUAUGAUGAAAGAAAAAUGUUUCAGAAAUCCAGUUUCAAUAAUGACCAAGCAUGUUUCAUUCCAUACUCGUAGAUUCAGUUCACAGUCACAUUUCUGCCCUGCGAGCCUCAAGUUUCUGUCUGCAGCUCACAUACUACCAUCUAUUAUAGACAAAGUGUGCAAGAAGCCAUUUAGAGAUAAUACAUAUAUAUUUUUGUAUUCCCAGUCUUUCAUACUGUCUUCUACCAAAUAAGCCUUUCAUUUUCACAUGACUUGCUCACCUCUAGGGGAAUGAAAGAAGUUUAAUCCCUAUAAUCCAUUCACUACUCGGUUUCAGCAACUAGAAGAAGAGCCACUGGAAGCACUUAACGCAUGCGUUGAUGAAGAGAGCGAUUCGCUCACUUAGUUUUCUACUGACCACUGAAUGGGAUGCUACCUCCAUAAAACAUUUUUUUCUUCUCUCUGAAUAACCUGGGUCAGUUGUGGACUAGCAGAUAAAAUGAAAAACGAUGGCUGAGCAAUGAUCGUUUAAUUUCCUGUGUUGUGGAGAUACCCCAGAUAGCAAUGGUGCCAGGUAAGAAUCUAAAAUGUCUGCCUGGACCAUGGCAGCCUUGGUGUGAGGAGCAACAUUCUGCAAUUUCAAGGUUCUUCUGUUAAUCUGUUGGUGCUGCACUAAGCGUGGUACGUGAAAACCACAGACUCUAAAAAUAAAAGCAGAAAAUAGAUAUAAGUCUCAGGUAACAUCCCAAGGGAGCUGAUUAUACAUACAUUCAUGAAUGCAAUAUUGCCUUGCCCCAGAUGACUUCAAGUUUUUCAUUUAAAUAUUUUCCUAAAAAUUGUUCCACGAGGACUUCUACGAAUAGCACACCCGGGGACAGAAAGUCCUGCAGAGCUGUGUGAGUACACCUCGACAGUUAUUCCAUAUAUAAGAGUGGAAAUGUACAGAGACUUCACACGGUGAAGUGAGCAAGGUAAAGAACACAGCUUCCUUUCUGUUAGCGUACUGCCGAACAUACACACGAGAGGCAUCUGGUAGUGAAUAUAAUUGAACUACUCUGCUUCUGGUAAGGAUCCCAAAGAAAAAGAACUUGAAUAAUGGAAAAGGAAAGCAUGACGACAACAGCCGUACCACAAUGGGCCCACUGCAGAAGUACUCAUCCAUCUCAUAGUCCAUUUUGCCGGGUCACGAGAGCACUGAACUAACAGAUGGGACAUCCAGCAUUCCUGAGCCAAACUCCCCACUGCUCUGCAGAACCACACACUCAUCUUUUCUGAUUUUUUCAAACUUUAUUUUAAAAGCAAUUCAGUUUUCCUGCCCAUUUGAAACCUCUCCAGAGCAUUUACAGAACAACAGUGAGAACUUUUCUUGCCAUUUCCAGUAAACUGUGCUCACUUUUUUUUAGCUUGCUUCUGCUAACCUCGAGCUUGCAAGUUCCUUUCCUCCCAUACAUAAAAAACGCACAACUUCCAACUGUUGUGUCUCCCAGCACGCAGACUCUUCAUUCCUCUUAACAUCCACAGCCCUAUUCUGCGUCUGUUCAGAACCGUUUAUCUGAGUGUGGGCAAUCAGUUGGGCCGCAGAUAAGGAUACGGUCUCAGGCAGCCAUGCAAUCUGACAUCAGUAUUUUGCACAGCCAGCGGAGGCCCUCCCGUAGCAGUUCCAGAGGACGGCCUUUUCACUCACGUACUUUCUGAGCCCCCUCACAGCAGCAGCAUGCCGCCAUCCUGCUGCCUACCGCUCCGACCCCUAAUUCGCUGCCAAGCCGGGGAGCUCUACUUGCAGAGAUCACCACUGCCUUCUAUUUGCAUCACCAAAUCCCAUUAAUCUUUGCUUUACUUCAUCUUGUUGGCACAUGGAUGUUCCAAGCCUCCCUUCUGUCGAUGCAGUCUCCCAGCUUCGCGUUGCAGAAUUUCCUCACUCUAAUUCCACUCGUUUACAAACUGCUUCCCUCCUCAGCUCGUCCUCAGACCAAACAUCCCCACUGCCGAGUCCUGCCAGCUUUGCGGAUCCG